GGCGACGUAGCCAAGUGGUAAGGCAGGGGUUUGCAAAACCUCUAUUCACCGGUUCGAAUCCGGUCGUCGCCUCCA
rnacentral:tRNA from 1 species